UGGGGAAUAUUGCACAAUGGGCGCAAGCCUGAUGCAGCAACGCCGCGUGAACGAUGAAGGUCUUCGGAUCGUAAAGUUCUGUUGCAGGGGAAGAUAAUGACGGUACCCUGUGAGGAAGCCCCGGCUAACUACGUGCCAGCAGCCGCGGUAAUACGUAGGGGGCUAGCGUUAUCCGGAUUUACUGGGCGUAAAGGGUGCGUAGGUGGUCCUUCAAGUCGGUGGUUAAAGGCUACGGCUCAACCGUAGUAAGCCGCCGAAACUGGAGGACUUGAGUGCAGGAGAGGAAAGUGGAAUUCUCAGUGUAGCGGUGAAAUGCGUAGAUAUUGGGAGGAACACCAGUAGCGAAGGCGGCUUUCUGGACUGCAACUGACACUGAGGCACGAAAGCGUGGGUAGCAAACAGG
rnacentral:rRNA from 1 species